UACGUAGGGUGCGAGCGUUGUCCGGAAUUACUGGGCGUAAAGCGCUCGUAGGUGGUUUGUCGCGUUGUUCGUGAAAACUCACAGCUCAACUGUGGGCGUGCGGGCGAUACGGGCAGACUAGAGUACUGCAGGGGAGACUGGAAUUCCUGGUGUAGCGGUGGAAUGCGCAGAUAUCAGGAGGAACACCGGUGGCGAAGGCGGGUCUCUGGGCCGAUACUGACGCUGAGGAGCGAAAGCGUGGGGAGCGAACAGG
rnacentral:rRNA from 1 species